UGAGGAAUAUUGGUCAAUGGGCGAGAGCCUGAACCAGCCAAGUAGCGUGCAGGAUGACGGCCCUAUGGGUUGUAAACUGCUUUUAUAUGGGAAUAAAGUGAGGGACGUGUCCCUUAUUGCAUGUACCAUAUGAAUAAGGACCGGCUAAUUCCGUGCCAGCAGCCGCGGUAAUACGGAAGGUCCAGGCGUUAUCCGGAUUUAUUGGGUUUAAAGGGAGCGUAGGCUGUUUGUUAAGCGUGUUGUGAAAUGUAAGAGCUCAACUUUUAGAUUGCAGCGCGAACUGGCAGACUUGAGUGCGCACAACGUAGGCGGAAUUCAUGGUGUAGCGGUGGAAUGCGUAGAUAUCAUGAAGAACUCCGAUUGCGAAGGCAGCUUACGGGAGCGCAACUGACGCUGAAGCUCGAAGGUGCGGGUAUCGAACAGG
rnacentral:rRNA from 1 species